AUAAUCGGCGAAGCUUUCGAGCCUAGCUUUAAAAUAUGAUAUACACCUGUGAACUAUUUGCCUUCGGGCACCAAACCAAACAUAAUGUCAAUGAAUGUAAACAUAUUAUAACAAAUAUAACUUUCAACAACGGAUCUCUUGGCUCUCACAUCGAUGAAGAACGCAGCGAAAUGCGAUAAGUAAUGUGAAUUGCAGAAUUCAGUGAAUCAUCGAAUCUUUGAACGCAGAUUGCGCCUUUUGGUAUUCCGAAAGGCAUGCCUGUUUGAGUGUCUUAUAAACCUCACCUCUACUGUUUUUCAUUAGACAUGUAGACUGGUGCUUUGGGUGUUGCCGUUUACUCUGGCUCGCCUUAAAUGUCUAAGUGGAAUGCGUAAUAAGUUCUUUCGCAACCCUCCACUCUAAUAACACACUUUAUAC
rnacentral:misc_RNA from 1 species